rnacentral:lncRNA from 14 species
CAAUAUCUAACGUUGGAAUAAUGAAAAGCUCUGUGCCUCUCUGACUGACGGCUGACAUUCUGUCCUUCAUGGGUAGUGACAAUUGCUUGGACAACCCAGAUGAGAUAAUAUCAUCGCUACUUAUUGGUAUUAAAUAAUG